rnacentral:rRNA from 1 species
UAGGGAAUCUUCGGCAAUGGACGAAAGUCUGACCGAGCAACGCCGCGUGAGUGAAGAAGGUUUUCGGAUCGUAAAACUCUGUUGUUAGAGAAGAACAAGGACGUUAGUAACUGAACGUCCCCUGACGGUAUCUAACCAGAAAGCCACGGCUAACUACGUGCCAGCAGCCGCGGUAAUACGUAGGUGGCAAGCGUUGUCCGGAUUUAUUGGGCGUAAAGCGAGCGCAGGCGGUUUCUUAAGUCUGAUGUGAAAGCCCCCGGCUCAACCGGGGAGGGUCAUUGGAAACUGGGGGACGUGAGUGCAGAAGAGGAGAGUGGAAUUCCAUGUGUAGCGGUGAAAUGCGUAGAUAUAUGGAGGGACACCAGUGGCGAAGGCGGCUCUCUGGUCUGUAACUGACGCUGAGGCUCGAAAGCGUGGGGAGCAAACAGG